UACAGAGGGUGCAAGCGUUGCUCGGAUUUACUGGGCGUAAAGCGUACGCAGACGGUACGGCAAGUCGGGCGUGAAAGCCCCAGGCUCAACCUGGGAACUGCGCUCGAUACUAUCGUGCUAGAGUUCGGGAGAGGAAAGCGGAAUUCCUGGUGUAGAGGUGAAAUUCGUAGAUAUCAGGAGGAACACCGGCGGCGAAGGCGGCUUUCUGGCCCGAUACUGACGUUGAGGUACGAGAGCGUGGGUAGCAAACAGG
rnacentral:rRNA from 1 species